CCUCGGGAGGUAGCAGUGAGGAAGAGUGGGCAAGGGGCGAGAGCCGGAACCAGACAAGUCGAGUGAGGGAGUACGGGCCUAUGGGUUGUAAACCUCUUUUGUCGGGGAGCAAAAGCCGGACGUGUCCGGCUGUGAGAGUACCCGAAGAAAAAGCAUCGGCUAACUCCGUGCCAGCAGCCGCGGUAAUACGGAGGAUGCGAGCGUUAUCCGGAUUUAUUGGGUUUAAAGGGUGCGCAGGCGGAGUUUUAAGUCAGCGGUCAAAUCGUGGGGCUCAACCCCAUCCAGCCGUUGAAACUGGGGAUCCAGAGUGUGCGAGAGGUAUGCGGAAUGCGUGGUGUAGCGGUGAAAUGCAUAGAUAUCACGCAGAACCCCGAUUGCGAAGGCAGCAUACCGGUGCACAACUGACGCUCAGGCACGAAAGCGUGGGUAUCGAACAGGAUUAGAUACCCCUGUAGUC
rnacentral:rRNA from 1 species